UGUACUUGUGCCAGCUUGAAACUGCUGAGAUGCUUUCGUUCUAUUUUAGAUCAAGAAAAUGCAAGAAACGUCACCCUAAAUCAGACCAAUGGCCCUUACAGACCAUAUUCUCCCUUUUAAUGAGCACAGGACUCAGAAGACCAGUGGGAAAACUCCGAUUCAUUAAUUUCAUUAAAUAUUUCUUGAAUUUCUGUCCUUGCUCUGUUCAAUCCCUUGGAAUACUGAAGUUUACAUAUUUGAUAGCUAUUGCAUAAAAUCACAUGUUUUAACAUAUUCUUUUCAGAUCACCAAAUAGACUGUAAAAAAGAAAAAGGAAAGAAAAAGAAAAAAAAAAAGAUGCAACCAUUCAUGAAGCCAUUAGUAAAACCAAUGAAUUACAGAAGAAGUAUGGAAGGGAUUUUAGUGUUUGAAAAUGAGAAUGAAUAAACGUUGUGCAAGAUUUGACUCUACAAGCAUACAUAGCCAGACAAAAAAAGAUUUGUUGUCAGAUAUGUGUACAGAGAAAGCUUUCUUCCACUAAUGAUCGACAAGUAAGAAAGCUGAAGAGAAGCAGGUUAAAAUUCAUAAAUUUACAUAGUCUAAGGUUAAUAUUCCCUAUUAAGCAUCAGUGAAUCUGCAAAUCUUGGAUCAUCUUCAACAUAUGAAAAGUUAUAUUUAAAAAAAAUUUAAAUAAUGAGUUACAUUUUAAAGUUAAUAAAAUCGUAACAUCUAAUAUUAGAAAACAACCCAAACUUUCUGCUUAUUUCCUUCAGGACAUGUGUGGCUGGGGUUUACUUUAACUUUCAUGCUGUAUUUUCAUAUUCUUCCUUCAGAGACAUUGCUAUUAUUAUUUAUUAUUAGUGACACAUUUGUUUUGGGUGCGUGAGUGCUUUCUGUGAAUAGGUUCUAGAAUUUUUGAAUCUCACACAGUGAUUAUUCUCUUACGAAUCUGAAGCUGCCAUGGGAAAAGAGGUGCUUCUGAAGAGGGUCCAAAGGAGUUCCCUGGGGAGAAGGUGAAACACCACUGGGGACCAAUGGGAUCCUUGGCUUAGGUGAUAGAAAAAAUAAUUUCAGAGGUAUAAACAGAGGUUAGUUUUAAUGGGAUCCCCAAUAAAAUUUGGAGUGUAGGAGAGAAGCACACUGUCCCUCUCUUCCCAGAGAGGACCAAACUCUCUUCCUUGAGACUGUCUCAUUUCCCUUUUUUUCCAUCCCUUCAAUAAACUCAUGCCUGUUACUCUGAGAUAUAUUGUCUGCAAUCUGACUUGAUCUCAAGAAUCACGGUUUGAAGAGUGGUGGUGGUGGGUAUCUUUGCACUGCCUCAGUUUCCUGGAAGGCCCCAAGCCCUCUAACAUUCCCUUGUCCUUCCAUUAUGUCUCCUUUCUACCUAUUUCUCAUUUCUUCUACCUCAAAGCUAAUGUUGAAUUUCAAGUCGACUGUGUAUGAAAGAGGGAAAAGAGAGAGAGGAAAUUAAAGAGAAGUUUCCAGAUUGCUAAGAAUACUGCUGAGAAUAUCUAAGGAGUCAGAUGGUCAGUGACUUGACUGUUUCAGAAUAAAAUGACUUCUACUGAAUUUAGUCCUGUAGGGAAAAUGAGGGAAAAGAUCUGAGCUAUACUAUUGUGGUGAAUAAUGUCUUUCUCAAUAUGGAAAACUGCUGUUAAUGGACAAAGAUAUUGGCUCCUGUUGCCUGGGGGGAAUGGGAAAGUGGAAUCUGGGCCUCUUGAAAGGACAGCCACUGGGAAAGCUCCCUGGGCAAGUGCAUUUCCUUCUUGAGCAAUCAAGAGUCUACUUUCUUUUUAGUGCUUGAAUUUAAUGGAAGAAUUGUUGCUUUACAAAAUCGUUUGUUUUUAAAUAAAGGGAAUUGGCAUGCUACAGUGAAUAAUACCAAAUUGCUUGGUGUUUUGAGUUUACUUUAUUUUUAAUGUUUCUAUUCACUGAG
rnacentral:lncRNA from 1 species